GGGUUCAGAGAACCAGGGGGCAGCCUCCUUGGAGAGUCUCAUCAAAGCAGUUACAUCAUAGCAAAUGCUCCUAUCAGGGUACAGGGAGUACAGGACUGUAGACCGCUCAACCCAAGGGACCCCACCCUUAGCUGGGACAGGUCCUAGGAAGUUGCCAUGGGCCCCAGGCUCCUCUGCUGUGUGGCCCUUUGUCUCUUGGAAGCAGGUCCAGCAGACUCUGGGGUUAUGCAGACCCCAAAACACCUGGUCAAAGCAAGAAAACAGCAAGUGACACUGAAGUGUUCCUAUAUCUCUGGAGACCUCUCUGUGUAUUGGUACAAACAGCCCCAGGGUCAGGGCCCCGAUUUCCUCGUUCAGUACUAUAAUGGGCAAGAGCGAAGUAAAGGGAACAUGCCUGAUCGGUUCUCAGUGAAGCAGUUCAGUGACUCCCGCUCUGAACUGAAUGCCAGCUCCCUGGAGCUGAGCGACUCAGCCCUGUACCUCUGUGCCAGCAGCCUUGACACAGCCCUGCAGGAGUGGCAGCUGCCUGCACAAAAACACUCUGCCCCACUCAGGAAGUGA